CCCUAAAUAACAUCAGUAAAUAAACUAAAUAAAAACCACCAAAUAAUAAACUAAAUAAACUAAAGUAAAUAAUAAAAAAAUACCUAAUUAAUAUAAUCACAUAAUUAUAAUUAACUAAAAUAAACUAAACUAAAUCAAAACCCCUAAAUAAAACCCCCAAUAUCAAACCUCCUAAAAACAUUAAAUCACAAUUACUAAAUUAAUAUAAUUUUUAAAAUCAAAACAGUAAAUCAUUUUAUAACUAAUAACUUCAAAACUUAACUAAAAUCAAAUCCCCAAAAUCAAAACAAUAAAUCAACCUAACAUUUAACCUUAAAAUCAAACCCCCAAAUAAUAAAUACAAAACCCCCCAAAUACAUAAACCUCCAAUGUCAUAAACCCACAAAGACAUAAACCCCCAAUGUCAUAAACCUACAAAGACAUAAACCCCCAAUGUCAUAAACCCCUAAAUUAAUCAUAUAACCAUAAACCCCUAAUUAAAUCAAACAACAUACCAUGAAAUCACAGGAUCUGACCCAAUUAAAUUAGAGUUAAUUGGGCAAUCUUAAGUUGGGAAGUUAAGGCAGUUAGGAUAACUGAAAUUAGAAGCAUCUAUUAAAGCAGUAACAAAUGGGUGUGAAAUUUCAAUAACUUUUCUUUCUCUGUAUCUCAUUUAAAUUUGAAAUUUCAAGUCUCUUCUUCUUCUUCCAAAUUCCAAUUCACAUUUCUUUUCCAAAGUUUUGUUUCUCUGUUUCAAUUUUUUCUUUGAUUCAUGCAUAGGAUUUGAUACUCAGUUUACCUCAUUUUCAAACUCAAUGUGUAUUUCCCUUUCUUGAUCAACUCACUGUCAUUCUUAGUUUAUCUAUAGUUUUCUUCUCUACUGUAAUAAAAAAUUCUGAAAAAUUACAGUAGUUGUUUCUGGAAUUUAAUGGCCAUAUCUUCUGAAUAUUUAUCCAUUCAGAAUCUUAACAUGGUAUCAGUUUAAAAGCCUUCUUGAUCUUGGGGAGUUUAUUUGUUCGUAGAAUUGCUGGAACAGUUUUUUUUUUAUAUUCUUAAAUCCUUAACAAUAUCUACAUCCCUAGCUAGUGGAAUAGAAGAUGAUAACAGGAGCAACAGGGACAGUUCAACCAAAUUCUGUAACUUUAAGCCAUGGAACAUAUAAUAUAUUCAGCAUGGUACCUGAUAAGAUGAAUAGGGGAAAUUAUCUGGUAUGGAGAAACCAAUUUGAGUGUGCUCUAAGAGUGAAUAAAUUUCUGAAGCAUGUUAACGGGACAGAAUCUUGCCCUGCUCCAAAAUUGAAUGAUGAAACAGAUAAUCCAGCCUAUGAAAGUUGGAUGGCAAAUGAUGAUUUAGUUCUUGGUUGGAUAAAAGCAACAGUGGCCAGCUAAUACCAACUUAUGCUACUCUAGUGCAAGUCUGCAUAUGAAGGGUGGAUUAACCUAGAAAGGAUGUUAUCACCAGUAAGUGGGACUCAAAUAUCAGUCAUCAAAGAACAGAUCAGGACUAUAAAGAAACUAGGAACAGAAACUAUGCAAGAAUACUUGGUGAGAGUAAAAGGAUUAGUGCAGUCUUUAGCUUCCACAGGAGAGACUGUUUCUGAAAAGACAUUGGUUGAUUACGUGAUGGGAGGACUUGGGUCAGAUUACAAGUGCAUGAUGACUACAGUAAGAAGUAGGCAGUCAACAACUUUUGAUGAACUAACUGACUUAUUAAUUGGUGAGGAAUACUUGAUUAAAAGAAUGGAAGGGGAGAAUCAGGUGGCUUUAGCAGCACACACCCAAUAUAGAGGGGGAUAUAACAACAACAACAGAAGACCCUAUCUGAAUAACUACCAAAGAUCUCAACCAUAUUAUCCAGUAUCCACCACCACCAUCUCAACUCUACUACCCACCACCUCAGUCAACACCUUAUUAUCAACAACCAAUACCCUAUUAUCCCCACCAGUAUCAAAAUAGAACUAAUCAUCAACCACCACAAAACAUCUACCCCAGCCAAAACAGAAACACAUAUUAUCACAAUAAUCAACAACAUUCAAACAACAAUUUUCAACCAAGAAAUCCAAGUCCAAAUUUUCAAAAAUCUCAACCAACCCUACCACCUCUAAUUUCAACACCACCAUCUAUUGAUCAGACUCAGGGGUGUUAACUAUAUGAUAAAAAAGGACAUCUGGCCAAACAAUGUCCAGAAAUAAGUAACUUUGCAGCCUAUACUACAACUACAUCAGAUCCAGCACCAACCUUUACUCAAGAUUUAGAUAUUGGUUCCAAUCAAACAGAAUCAGCAUUAUCUGCAGCUGCAACACAGAAUGAGACAGCUUGGUGUCUUGAUUCAGGGGCAUCUAGCCAUAUGACCUCUGACCUGGGAGCUUUCUCAUCAUAUGAGCCCUUUACAGGUAUUCAAUUUGUUAUUGUAGAUAAUGGAGAAAGACUACAAAUAACACAUAAGGGCACUUUAAUUUUAAAAUCAGGAGGACUAGAGUAUAUAUUAUAUGAUGUAUUGUGUGUACCUGGAUUGAAAAAGAAUUUGCUAUCAAUUCAGAAACUAUCUAAAGAUCUGAAUUGUAUUAUAAUUUUUGAUCACAAUGAUUUUUUUGUAAAGGACCCAUAUACUAUGGAGAUGCUGUUUACUGGAGCUAGUAAUGGAGGACUGUAUUACUUAUAGUCUUAUACACAGAUGUUCAUGCUUACUAUGGAAUAAGAACUACAGAAGAAAAUUGGCAUAACAGGUUGGGCCAUUCUUGUCAAGCUAGUGUCCAAAGACUAAAAGGUGAUCUAUUGCUAAAAGAGGGAGGAAAGAAAAAUAUUAGCAGCUGUUCUAUAUGUGCUCAAGGGAAGAGUCAUCAAUUACCUUACUCAAGAAGCAUGAACACUAGUUCCAAGCCUUUAGAACUACAUUUCAUAGACUUGUGAGGACCUUCCCCAACAACUUCUGUGCAUGAAUUUAGAUAUUACAUUUCAAUUGUAGAUGAUUUUAGUAGAUAUAAUUGGAUAUUUCCAAUAAGUAAUAAAUCUGAUUUCAGUAAUGUGUUUGCAAAAUUCCAAGUUCAGAUAGAGAGGUUUUUAGAUCUGAAAAUGAAAGUAGUUCAGACAGAUCAAGGUGGAGAAUUUAUUAACAAGAAGUUUAAAGAUUAUUUAAGUACACUUGGGAUUACACAUAGGCAGUCAUGUGUGUAUACCCCUCAACAACAUGGAAAGGUAGAGAGAAAGCACAGACAAAUUGUAGAGAUGGGCAGGUGUAUAUUCAUCCAAUCAGGCAUUCCACACCAAUACUGGCCAGAAGUUCUCUUCUGCAGUGUUUAUUAUUAAUAGACUUAAAAUCUCUAAUCUAGAGAACAAGAGUCCAUUUGAGAAACUUAUGAAGAAAAUUCCAGAUUAUACUUUGAUCAGGACAGUAGAGUGUGCUUGCUACCCACUAUUACCAAAACAAGAUAGGAACAAGCUUAUGCCUAAAUCUAGAAAAUGUGUGUUUUUGGAUUAUGCCUCGAGUCAAAAAGGAUACAGGUGUCUGGAAUUGGAGAACAAGACCAUUUCAAUAUCUAGAGAUGUAAUAUUUGAUGAGGAGGAUUUCCCCUUUCUUGGUCUAAAAUCAAGAGAGAUUAAUUCAAUCCCCAAGGAGGGACAAUUCUUAAAUCCUUUAUCUAUUAUUCCUUCACCCAAUAUACUAAAUCCUGUUCCGAAUUUACAGUCUGAAAUUUUAAUUCCAUCUACUAAUGUGCAUGAAUCCUCAACUAGUAUUUCUGAACCCACAACUAGCACAUCUGAACCUUAUACUACUUCUGCUGAAAAUAGAACUGAUCUAGAUUCUAAUCUAGACAAGAGUUCUUCUGAGUCUGGUCAUUAUGAUCAGGCUAUUCCUGAAUCUGAAAACAAGAUAAGAAAAUCAAAUAGAAUGAGAAUUGCAUCCACCAAAUAUUGUAAAGAUUUUGUAUGUAAUAAUGUUGAUAUUUCUAACAUUGUGCAUGAGCCUACUUGUUUUAGCAAUGCAAAUAAACAGGAAUGCUGGAGAAAUGCAAUGGCUGAAGAAAUAAGAGCCAUAAAGGAGAAUGGAACAUGGUCUUUAGUCCCAAGAAGACAGGACAUGAAUAUUGUAGGGUCAAAGUGGGUGUACAAGAUAAAGAAAAAGGCAGAUGGGACUGCGGAAAGGUACAAAGCAAGGUUGGUGGCACAAGGGUACAACCAAGAAGAGGGAGUGGAUUAUCAGUAUACGUAUAGCCCAGUUAUAAAGAUGGCUACAGUCAGAACAAUUUUAUCCUUGGCAGUAACAAAUGGAUGGAGGAUGAGGCAACUAGGCAUGAAGAAUGCCUUUCUAAAUGGCAAUUUACUAGAGACGGUGUAUAUGAAGAAGCAUCCCAAAGGAUUUGUGGAUAAAAACAAGGCUGACGAUGUAUGUUUGUUACACAAGGUUUUGUAUAGCUUGAAACAAGCCCCUAGAGCUUGGUAUCUGAAACUACAGGAAUACUUAAUAAAAGAUGGGUUUAAAAACUCUAAUGCAGAUGCUUCAUUAUUCAUAAAGAAGGAAGAGAAAUCUAUUGUACUAGUCCUGGUAUAUGUAGACGAUUUGGUAGUUACAAGUGAUGAUUAUGGAAAGGUUACGUAUUUCAUCAAUGAUUUGUGCAAAACAUUUAAAUGCAGAGAUAUGGGCAAUUUGAGAUAUUUUUUGGGAAUAGAUUGUAUUGUUCAAGAAGAUUCACUAAUCCUGUCUCAACAAAACUACAUUAAAGAAGUAUUGAAAAAGCAUGGAUAUGAAGAUGCCAAGCCAACAAAAACACCAAUGUUAUUAUCUACAAAGCUAAUACCUGAGAUGGGAGAUUGCUUACCUGAUGCAACGAUCUACAGAAGCAUGGUUGGAUCGCUUCAGUAUGCCACUUUAACAAGACCCGAUCUGUCCUUUCCAAUUAAUCAAGUCUGUCAGUACCUGCACAAUCCAAAGGAGGGUCAUCUAAUGACUGUCAAACGAAUUUUCAGAUACCUGAAAGGAACUGAAAAAUUGGGAUUAAGAAUUACAAGAAAUCCUAAUGCGGUAAACACUCUGGUGGACUACAGUGAUUCAGAUUGGGGUGGCAGCCCGGAUAGGAAAUCGAUUACAGGCUCUAGUAUUUGGUACAAAGGGAACUUACUAUCAUGGUCGGCAAAGAAACAACCGGCGGUGUCUACUUCAAGUGCUGAGGCUGAGUUCAAAGCAUUGGCACAUGUCACAUCAGAACUCCGGUGGUACUGUUACUUGUUCAGGGAGCUAGGAAUCAAGCUAGAUGUUCCACCGACGCUACUUUGUGAUAACAAAUCAUCAAUCUUUAUGACAAAGAAUCCGACGACAACUCCACAAUCACGGCACAUAGAAGUUAGCUACUACUUUGUGCGGGACUUAGUGAGCAAGGGGGCACUGAAAAUAGAGUAUGUUCCAACAGCGCUACAGUUUGCGGACGGAUUCACAAAAACGUUGGGGACAGAUGAUUUUUGCAGGCAUCGUGAUAGGCACAAACUUGUGUCGUGUCCGAUGAUAAAUCAACCUCCGACGAACGUUGAUGAUUCAAACCUUCCGAUCAUUGGCUCUCUAGGUUAGAGGGAGGAUAUGAAAUCACAGGAUCCGACCCAAUUAAAUUAGAGUUAAUUGGGCAAUCUUAAGUUGGGAAGUUAAGGCAGUUAGGAUAACUGAAAUUAGAAGCAUCUAUUAAAGCAGUAACAAAUGGGUGUGAAAUUUCAGUAACUAAUCUUUCUCUGUAUCUCAUUUAAAUUUGAAAUUUCAAGUCUCUUCUUCUUCUUCCAAAUUCCAAUUCACAUUUCUUUCCCAAAGUUUUG
rnacentral:lncRNA from 1 species